GCGAGUCGAGAGACGUAAGGUCUCGGCGGACCGCUCAGUAACACGUGGAUAACAUGCCCUAAGGAGGGGGAUAAUCUCGGGAAACUGAGGGUAAUACCCCAUAGGUCUAUUUUGCUGGAAUGCUAAUAGGCCGAAAACUCCGGUGCCUUAGGAUUGGUCUGCGGUCUAUCAGGCUGUAGUGGGUGUAAUGGACCCACUAGCCCGUGACGGAUAUGGGCCUUGAGAGAGGGAGCCCAGAGAUGGACUCUGAGACAUGAGUCCAGGCCCUACGGGGCGCAGCAGUCGCGAAAACUUCGCAAUGGGGGCAACCCCGACGAGGGAAUUCCAAGUGCUAGCACUUUGUGUUAGCUGUUCUUCUGUCUAAAAAACAGGAGGAGUAAGGGGCGGGUAAGACGGGUGCCAGCCGCCGCGGUAAUACCCGCGCCCCAGGUGGUGGUCGAUAUUAUUGAGCCUAAAACGUCCGUAGCCGGUCUUCUAAAUCCUUGGGUAAAUCGGGCAGCUUAACUGUCCGAAGUCCGGGGGGACUGGGAGACUUGGGACCGGGAGAGGUCAGAGGUACUUCUGGGGUAGGGGUAAAAUCCUGUAAUCCUGGAAGGACCACCGGUGGCGAAGGCGUCUGACUAGAACGGAUCCGACGGUGAGGGACGAAGCCCUGGGGCGCAAACGGGAUUAGAUACCCCGGUAGUCCAGGGUGUAAACGCUGCGGGCUUGGUGUUGGGGGUCCUUAGUGGGCGCCCAGUGCCGGAGAGAAGUUGUUAAGCCUGCUGCUUGGGGGGUAUGUCCGCAAGGAUGAAACUUAAAGGAAUUGGCGGGGGAGCACCGCAACGGGAGGAGCGUGC
rnacentral:rRNA from 1 species